CUCCCCGUUGCUGACCCCAGGUUCGAUAGCGCCAAUUAGGCGCCACCUCGCCAAAGAACCAGCUUCGGUGAAGCGACGGGCGGUGUGUGCAAGGAG
rnacentral:rRNA from 1 species